rnacentral:rRNA from 1 species
UACGAAGGGGGCUAGCGUUGCUCGGAAUUACUGGGCGUAAAGAGCUCGUAGGCGGUUUGUCGCGUCUGCUGUGAAAACCCGAGGCUCAACCUCGGGCCUGCAGUGGGUACGGGCAGACUAGAGUGCGGUAGGGGAGAUUGGAAUUCCUGGUGUAGCGGUGGAAUGCGCAGAUAUCAGGAGGAACACCAAUGGCGAAGGCAGAUCUCUGGGCCGUAACUGACGCUGAGGAGCGAAAGCAUGGGGAGCGAACAGG